GACAAAGUUUGUGCACUUUCCCGAAACCUCUCCUUUCAAUUCCCCUCCAUUCAUUACAGGGAGCAAAAAUGAUCCUGUGGGUAAACAUGGUCUCCUUAUUAGCAGUCCUCCCAGGUGUUCAGUCAGAUGUUCAGCUGUUGGAGUCUGGAGGGGAUGUGAGAAGACCUGGAGGUUCCCUCCGUCUCUCCUGCCAAGGCUCCGGAUUCACCUUCAGCAGCUACUGGAUGAGCUGGGUGAGACAGUAUCCAGGGAAGGGACUGGAAUGGGUUGGAGAGAUAAACUUGGAUUCAAGUGCUAUUCGCUACUCUGACAAAGUGAAAGGACGCUUCACCAUCUCCCGAGACAAUUCCAAAAGCCAACUCUAUGUGCAAAUGAACAACCUGAAGCCAGAGGACACGGGAGUCUAUUACUGUGCGAGUGACACAGUGAGAGGAAGUGAAUCUGAAGCUAAGCAAGAACCUUCUCUUCCUCUGAGCAGCCCUUCAAGUUGA